CAAGCGCAUGGCCGAGAGAGCGCGUUCUUUUUGUUUAUCUCCGGAGGGAAACCGAGUGGAUUAUUGACUGAAGCGCGCCAGAUAAACUGAGUUUUUAUGGAUAUAAAGAAGGACUUUAUCGAACAAAAGGACCAUUUGUAAUGUAACUGGGACAUUUUGGAGUGCCAACAGAAGAAUAUCUUCAAAGUAUACAUCCAGACUGGCCUGCUACUGUGUGUUUCUGGACCUUAUAAACUGUCGAGCAGAUCCACAACUGAUCCAAAUGGAAUGAAGGUAUACUGAGCCAUAGGCAACCACUGUGCCUUGGCUUGAUUCCUAAUCUGGAGAGUGUCUGGACGAGCAUUGCUGUCUGGGUGAGUGAAGGGACACUUAAGUGAGAGCGCGGAUCCUUCAGUGGGGGACACAUUGAGGUUGUUUGGUCUGGGGUGAUGCCUAUGGGCAGAGGGUGGCAGAAAUACUUUAUCUACCCCCACAGUACAUGUUGAGAAUAUAGAAUGCAUUUUACCAUGUAAGCCAAAUAAUGGAGGCCUAUACUAUCGUAC
rnacentral:lncRNA from 1 species